AAAGCGAGUCCGGCGGGCGGCUCCUCGGGGUUGGGCGACCGAGCGGGGCCGGCCGGGCGGGGGGCGGGCCCGUGAAGGCGGCGCAGCGCGGCGCGGGAGGCGUGCUGGGCGCGGGGCUGCGGUGCCCAGAGGCUGCGGCAUUAGGGGCUCGGCGCCCCCGACCUUCCGCGUCCCGGGGUGGCGGCGGCGGCGGCGGCGGCGGCGCGGGCGGCAUAUGAUGCUGAGCUGGCUGCUCCAGAAUGAACCACAGCUCUGAGAAGGGGAAGUAGAAACAGCUGGCGCCCUGCCAUGGCCUGUGAACCACAGGUGGACCCGGGGGCCACUGGCCCAUUGCCCCCCUCCUCCCCUGGCUGGAGUGCCCUGCCUGGAGGGAGCCCUCCUGGCUGGGGGCAAGGUAAGAUCAUGACCUUUCAUUUUCCACCUUCUUUCUACCUCAUGCUGAACUGGACUCACAGGGCACAGAAGUUCCUUUAGAUAAGGUCAGGGGGAGGUGUCUUUGAGGCCAUAUUCUGUCAUUUUUACCAGUUCUGUCUCUUGGCCUUAGACCAAGCCACCAUCACUCUCUGCUGAGCCCCUGCUGUAGCUUGCUUGUUGGUCUUCUCUUUUCCAUUUAUUCUUUACAUGGCAGCCAGAGAGCUCUUUAUUAUUUAUUUAUAUUUCUGAUUUAUUUUUACUUAUUUAGAGACAGGGUCUUGCUCUGUUAUCCUGGCUGGAGUGCAGUGGCGUGAUUGUAGCUCACUGGAGCCUGGAACUCCUGGGCUCAAGUAAUCCUCCCACCUCAGCCCCCUGAACAGCUGGGAUUACAGGCAUCCACCGCUACAUCCUGCUAAUUAAAAAUGUUUUUUGUAGAGUUGGGGCCUUACUUUGUUGCCCAGGCUGGUCUCAGACUCCUGGCCUCAAGCAGUCCUCUGGCUUUGCCUUCCCAAAGUGCUGGGGUUACAGGAAUGGGGCCCAGAGGUUUUUAAUUUUUUAUUUUUUUUAUUUUUUGAGAUGGAGUCCCACUCUGUUGCCCAGGUUGGAAUGCAGUGGCAUGAUCUCGGUUCACUGUAGUCUUCACCUCCCAAGUUCAAGCAGUUCUCCUGCCUCGGCUUCCCGAGUAGCUGGGAUUACAGGUACCCACCACCACGCCCAGCUAAUUUUCGUAUUUUUAGUAGAGAUGGGGUUUCACCAUCUUGGCCAGGCUGGUCUCGAAUUUCUGACCUCAGGUGAUCCGCCCACCUUGGGCUCCCAAAGUGCUGGGAUUACAGGCGUGAGCCACCACACCUGGCCCCAGAUAUCUUUUUAAAAUACACAUUUAGUCCAACCAUGUCAGUUUCUGCUCAGUGUUUUCCAUGGGGCUUAGUGUGAAGGCCUGCCUUCAUAUUCUUUGCUGUGCUGUUUUGCCUCAGGACCUUUGCACCUGCAUUCCCUUCUGCCUGUUGUGCUUUUCCCUUGCCUCCUUUCUCCUGAUGAAUUUCUAUUCAUCCAUCAGACAUGGUGGCUCACACCUGUAAUCCCAGCACUUUGGGAGGCCAGGGUGGGCAGAUCACUUGAGGUCAGGAGUUCAAACAGUACUUGAGUACAUGUUUACCUGGCCAACAUGGUAAAACCCUUUCUCUACUAAAAAUCAGCUGGAUGUGGUGGCGGGCGCCUGUAAUGCCAGCUACUAGGGAGGCUGAGGCAGGAUAAUCACUUGAACCAGAGAGGCAGAGGUUGCGGUGAGCCGAGAUCACACCACUGGACUCCAGUUUGGGUGACAGAGUGAGACUCCAUCUCA
rnacentral:lncRNA from 1 species